UAGGAAAUCAGAUGCCCGGGGCCA
rnacentral:piRNA from 1 species